rnacentral:rRNA from 1 species
UGGGGAAUAUUGCGCAAUGGGGGGAACCCUGACGCAGCCAUGCCGCGUGAAUGAAGAAGGCCUUCGGGUUGUAAAGAUCUUUCGGUAUUGAGGAAGGUUGAUGUGUUAAUAGCACAUCAAAUUGACGUUAAAUACAGAAGAAGCACCGGCUAACUCCGUGCCAGCAGCCGCGGUAAUACGGAGGGUGCGAGCGUUAAUCGGAAUAACUGGGCGUAAAGGGCACGCAGGCGGUUAUUUAAGUGAGGUGUGAAAGCCCCGGGCUUAACCUGGGAACUGCAUUUCAGACUGGGUAACUAGAGUACUUUAGGGAGGGGUAGAAUUCCACGUGUAGCGGUGAAAUGCGUAGAGAUGUGGAGGAAUACCGAAGGCGAAGGCAGCCCCUUGGGAAUGUACUGACGCUCAUGUGCGAAAGCGUGGGGAGCAAACAGGAUUAGAUACCCUGGUAGUCCACGCUGUAAACGCUGUCGAUUUGGGGGUUGGGGUUUAACUCUGGCGCCCGUAGCUAACGUGAUAAAUCGACCGCCUGGGGAGUACGGCCGCAAGGUUA